rnacentral:rRNA from 1 species
AAUUUUUUUUUUUUAUUUUUUGGUAUUGCAUAUCAGAUAAUUAGGAUUUUGGUUUUUAUCAUUUAUAGAAUGUCAGGGGUUAAAAAUGAUUUUUUUGUGUUGUUAUAAAACUUAAUUAAUUUUUUUUUUUGUGUCUAUAUGUCGUCUUGUCGGAUAACUGUUUUUUUGGUUUUUUUAUGAGGUUUAGGGAUAUGAUUUUUUCUUGUCUUGUUUUUGGGCUUAGGCUUUUUUUUAAUAGUGUAUUGUUUUUUUUUUUUGCUUUUGUUAGUAGUAAUAUGUUACUAUUUUUAUUAUUUUAUUUUUAGUAAUUUUUUUGAAGUGUUGUUUAUAAUUUUAAUAUAAUUUUUUUAAUAGUAUUUGGGGAAAAUGUUUAUUAAAGACUGAGGCUUUUGUUUUUAGCUGGCUUCUGCUCAAUGAGAAUUUAAAUGGCUGUUUUAGCGUGAGGACAUUAAGGUAGCGAGGUUAUUUGUUUCUUUAUUGGUUUCUUGUAUGAAAGGAGUAUUUUUUCAUUAUUUAUUUGUUUUUGUUUGAAUUAUUUUUUGGUAUAAUAAUUUAUAGUUGUAUUUUAACAAAGAUAAGUCUUCGGAAAUUAUUUUUAAUCAUUAGUUUUUGCUAUUGUUUAUAUUUUUUUGGGGUAAAGUUUUUAUGUAUUGAUAAUUACUUUUUUAUGUUUAGUAAUUACUUCGGAGUUAACAGGGGGUUUAGUAUUUUGUAGUUCUUAUACAUUUUCAGGCCUUACAUCGAUGUUGUAUCAUGAUUGUUGGCGGGGCAGUACUCGUGUUUUUUUUUUUUUGAGACUGUUCUUCUUUUAGUAAAUUUUACGUGAUAUUAGUUUAAUUCAUCGUGAGAUAGAGUGGUUUAUCUUGUAAAUUACUUUUUUUUUAUGGUUUUAGUACGAAAGGAAGGAGUUUAGGGUUUAAAACUUUUUUGUUUGUUUU